rnacentral:sRNA from 1 species
GUGGGACAGCUUUAUCAGAUGAGGCAAUUGGCAUAUGGGCAGCAGACUGGGACAUACGAAGAAAAAGAUAGUAUAAGUUUUAAGCGUCUUACCACCAAGACAUGUCCUUAAAUGAGCAGGAACCAGAUACCAUCCAAAAUUUCCAACUUGGCAGAGGCUUUAUCCUCAACACUGAUGUGACUCAGGAGACUAUGGAAGUGGAUUUAGGCCUGGUACCAGCUUCCAGCACCGUAGAAAACAUUCACCUUAGAAGAUCCACUAGCAUCCCUUUGGUCAACGGAUUUGGUGAUAAUUCACAGGGACUCCUUCUUAACCCCACAAGAAUGAGAAGGAACAGCUCACCAUUUGCGAAUCAGCAUAGUUU